UACGUAGGGUGCGAGCGUUUGUCCGGAAUUAUUGGGCGUAAAGAGCUCGUAGGCGGUCUGUCGCGUCUGCUGUGAAAACCCGAGGCUCAACCUCGGGCCUGCAGUGGGUACGGGGCAGACUAGAGUGCGGUAGGGGGAGAAUGGAAUUCCUGGUGUAGCGGUGGAAUGCGCAGAUAUCAGGAGGAACACCGAUGGCGAAGGCAGUUCUCUGGGCCGUAACUGACGCUGAGGAGCGAAAGCGUGGGGGAGCGAACAGG
rnacentral:rRNA from 1 species